GUCUGACGGAGCAACGCCGCGUGAGUGAUGAAGGUUUUCGGAUCGUAAAGCUCUGUUGUUAGGGAAGAACAAGUGCCGUUCAAAUAGGGCGGCACCUUGACGGUACCUAACCAGAAAGCCACGGCUAACUACGUGCCAGCAGCCGCGGUAAUACGUAGGUGGCAAGCGUUGUCCGGAAUUAUUGGGCGUAAAGGGCUCGCAGGCGGUUUCUUAAGUCUGAUGUGAAAGCCCCCGGCUCAACCGGGGAGGGUCAUUGGAAACUGGGGAACUUGAGUGCAGAAGAGGAGAGUGGAAUUCCACGUGUAGCGGUGAAAUGCGUAGAGAUGUGGAGGAACACCAGUGGCGAAGGCGACUCUCUGGUCUGUAACUGACGCUGAGGAGCGAAAGCGUGGGGAGCGAACAGGAUUAGAUACCCUGGUAGUCCACGCCGUAAACGAUGAGUGCUAAGUGUUAGGGGGUUUCCGCCCCUUAGUGCUGCAGCUAACGCAUUAAGCACUCCGCCUGGGGAGUACGGUCGCAAGACUGAAACUCAAAGGAAUUGACGGGGGCCCGCACAAGCGGUGGAGCAUGUGGUUUAAUUCGAAGCAACGCGAAGAACCUUACCAGGUCUUGACAUCCUCUGACAAUCCUAGAGAUAGGACGUCCCCUUCGGGGGCAGAGUGACAGGUGGUGCAUGGUUGUCGUCAGCUCGUGUCGUGAGAAUGUUGGGUUAAGUCCCGCAACGAGCGCAACCCUUGAUCUUAGU
rnacentral:rRNA from 2 species